CAUGAACGUAAUUAACACAGGGACUACAGAACACACAUAAGCACACAUAUGCGAACAGGGUGCUACACCAUAAUUCAGGUUACACAAGUAAACAAAUUAAACAAGCCACUUGACUAGUAUCACAGAUCAACAGAGUAGUAUUGAACAACUAAAAAUAGAUAGUAGAAGUAACUAGUACAGGAAGCAAGUACUCUUAGAAUCUGAAUGUUACAGACUACAAGUCUCAAACUACAGAAAAUUCAGAGAAGAGAAGGAGAAAGAGAGAUGGCAGCAGGAGAUUAGAGAAAGAAGAAGAAGCAACUGGGGCAUGGAGAAAGGAGCAACAACAGUACGGGAUUCAGAGAAGAACUAAGAGCAGCAGCUAAAGAGAAGGGCAGCAGGGGGCGCAUUAGAAGAAGGAGCAGCAGCAGGUUGGCGAUGGGGAAGAAGAGCAGCAGCAGUAGGGAUUCAGAGAGGAAGAACCAGCAGGUUGAGGCAACAGCAACAAGGGGCGUUGGAGAUGUAGUAGUAACAGUAGGAAGAGAAGAAGGACGACAGCACGGGGUUCAGAGAAGAGCAGCAGCAGGUGGCGCGGGGAAGGUUAGGAGUAGCAACGAGAUUGGGGAAAGAAGAAGGUUAGGAGCAGCAGGAGAUUGAGAGUGGUGGCGCUGGGUGUUGUGGAGGCGCGCUGGUGGUACUGGAUGGCGCGGUGGUGAAGUGGAGAUGCGGAGGCGCUGGGUGAAGGUGGAGAUGUUGGAUGGCACUGGCUGCAUGGAUGGCUGGGAGGUGAUGGUGUUGCUGGUGGAUGGAUGGCACUGGUUGGCGCACCACCACACCGGCCUGGCCGUGGCGGUAGCCGGAGGUGGAGAAGGAGGUUGGGGGAGAGAGAUGUGUGCCAGGCCCGAUCGGAUGCCUCCAGCGCCUAGGGAUUU
rnacentral:rRNA from 1 species